GACGAACGCUGGCGGCGUGCUUAACACAUGCAAGUCGAACGAUGAAGCCGGAGCUUGCUCUGGUGAAUUAGUGGCGAACGGGUGAGUAACACGUGAGUAACCUGCCCUUGACUCUGGGAUAACUGCGGGAAACUGUAGCUAAUACCGGAUACGACCCUCGGAGGCAUCUCCUGGGGGUGGAAAGAAUUUCGGUCAAGGAUGGACUCGCGGCCUAUCAGCUAGUUGGUGAGGUAAAGGCUCACCAAGGCGACGACGGGUAGCCGGCCUGAGAGGGUGACCGGCCACCGUGGGACGGAGACACGGCCCAGACUCCUGCGGGAGGCAGCAGUGGGGAAUAUUGCACAAUGGGCGCAAGCCUGAUGCAGCAACGCCGCGUGAGGGAUGACGGCCUUCGGGUUGUAAACCUCUUUUAGCAGGGAAGAAGCGAAAGUGACGGUACCUGCAGAAAAAGCACCGGCUAACUACGUGCCAGCCGCCGCAGUAA
rnacentral:rRNA from 1 species